AUUGAACGCUGGCGGAAUGCUUUACACAUGCAAGUCGAACGGCAGCACGGGGGCAACCCUGGUGGCGAGUGGCGAACGGGUGAGUAAUACAUCGGAACGUGCCCAGUCGUGGGGGAUAACGUAGCGAAAGCUACGCUAAUACCGCAUACGAUCUACGGAUGAAAGCGGGGGAUCGCAAGACCUCGCGCGGUUGGAGCGGCCGAUGGCAGAUUAGGUAGUUGGUGGGGUAAGGGCUCACCAAGCCGACGAUCUGUAGCUGGUCUGAGAGGACGACCAGCCACACUGGGACUGAGACACGGCCCAGACUCCUACGGGAGGCAGCAGUGGGGAAUUUUGGACAAUGGGCGCAAGCCUGAUCCAGCCAUUCCGCGUGCAGGAUGAAGGCCCUCGGGUUGUAAACUGCUUUUGUACGGAACGAAGAGCCUUCUUCUAAUACAGGAGGGUCAUGACGGUACCGUAAGAAUAAGCACCGGCUAACUACGUGCCAGCCGCCGCGGUAA
rnacentral:rRNA from 1 species